rnacentral:lncRNA from 13 species
UGAGUUCGAGGUGAAGGACACCUUGAAAUAAUUACAUUUUUUUUCUCAUUUUAUGUUGUGAAAAUGGCUUAGUUGAUUUGGGGAAGAAUUGCAAAAUGUUCAGCUGACUCCCUUAUGAAGGCAACAUUAUUUUUCUCUCCCUUUUUUGCCAGCGUAACCACACUGUGAUCAUUUACCCUCUUUCUUGGAAGGUGGAUUCCUUCCAGAAGACGCCCUAAUCAUUGGUUCAGCUGCCUGUCAGCCUGACCCUGACCAGCCAUGGGGAGCCACACCCAUCCCAGAGUGCGUUAGAGAAGUCUGCACCAUCUUCUGGCUCACACAGUUUC